CGUGCGGAGGACCGCGGCCCGCCAAAGCAACAGAGGUAGGUACACAUUGGGUGGGAGAGUCGAGCCAGAGCUCGAAUCAACUCGGUAAUGAUCCUUCCGUAGGUGAACCUGCGGAAGGAUCAUUA
rnacentral:rRNA from 1 species